GUGGACAGCCUGGUGGGCCCC
rnacentral:misc_RNA from 1 species